GUUUGUCCUAAUGACAAAUCCACAUAUUGGAAACACUGGUGUAAAUUUUGACGAUGAAGAAUCAAACCAGUGCUUUCUUGCUGGUCUGGUUAUAAGGAGCUUAAGCAUCAGUACUUCAAAUUGGAGAUGCACUGAAGCACUUGGUGAUUAUCUAGCAGCAAGGAAUAUCAUGGGAAUAUAUGAUGUUGACACCCGUGCAAUCACUCGGAGAUUGAGGCAAGAUGGAAGCCUUAUUGGUGUACUGAGCACAGAAGAAUCCAAGACAGAUGAAGAACUUCUAGAGAUGUCUCGCUCAUGGGAUAUUGUUGGUGUUGAUUUAAUAAGUGGCGUCUCAUGCACUGCCCCUUAUGAAUGGGUUGAUAAAACAAAACCAGAGUGGGAUUUUAACACCAAUGGGGGAGGAGAGGUCUACCGUGUUGUUGCAUAUGAUUUUGGGAUCAAGCACAAUAUACUGAGGCGCUUAGCAUCUCAUGGCUGUAAAAUCACUGUGGUCCCUUCGAAGUGGCCUGCAUUAGAAACUCUGAAGAUGAAGC
rnacentral:misc_RNA from 1 species